GGUAUAUUCACAUACCCAAAUCGAGCAACGUAUGAGAAAGUUAUUGACGAAUGUUCGGUGUAUGCGCGUUAAAUAACGUCAAUUUGGUUAUUUUUUUGUAUAGGUGAAAAUUAUACAGAAGAAGAAUGUAACCAAUCUAGGGGAGGCUCAGGGACCCACGAGACGUCGAUGUGAUCUGUUCAAGAAUUGCAAAGGUGUGGUAACUACGAGGAAAUUCAACGGUGUUCUGACAGAAUGGACCGAAUGAGGACUCACUUUCGGGUGGUUCAUCUUAGAAGUUGUAUAUUUUUAAAGCUUCCGAACUGUGUAAAUGGUUACGUCACUCUCACGUGACGGCCAGCAUGCCCUCCUUCGGGACGGGGUGUGUCAGUUGGUAUCAGAGCUUAGUUUCAAUCUUGGACAUCUUGAGAAGUUCUAGUGAAUUCUGUCAGAACUACACCGCCUCGUAGCAAACCACGUAGUUAGAGGAACUUAGUCUCCCUGAUUUAGCUGUUAGGGGGAAACUAUUAUUUUGGUGAUUCAGUAUAUUAUCUAAAGGGACAUUUUAAGAUGGGUUAUGAGUUGAAUUUGAAUCACCUUAUGAAAUGAUGAACCUGAGGGAGCAAAGUGAUGGAUUAACCAAUUGGAAAUGAUGUUUUAGGUUAUGCAAGUCAAAGGAAUCUUCCUUUUGACAGAAGGGUUGAGAUGACCACCUGGUUUGAAUUAUGAACUUGUAUCCUGGUGGAAACAGGAGUAUAAUUCGUUGUCACCGGAGGAAACAGCCGAUUGAGAAUUGUUUAAGGACUUAUUUAAAGAAAAGAAUUAUUCAUUCGACAUUUUAUGAUGGUAGAAAGCAAGAGUUUGCAAAUGUGAGACAAGAAAAGCUGACGAUCAAUGAGUAUUAUAGAAAGUUCUCAGACUUGCCUCGUCCCAUUCGAAUAUUGCUGCUAUUUUGAUUGAAAUGUUAUAUUGUUUUAGGCUGGGUGGCAUAAGGCAGUAGUAUUUUGGGUGACCACUAUCCAUUGUAAUUCUUACCAGGAGCAUACAAGAUGUUGUUGAGUCUAGAGGACUCUGAGAACACGUUCAGCGAGAGUAAA